rnacentral:misc_RNA from 1 species
GAUGAAGAACGUAGUGAAAUGCGAUAAGUAAUGUGAAUUGCAGAAUUCAGUGAAUCAUCGAAUCUUUGAACGCACCUUGCACCCUUUGGCAUUCUGAAGGGUAUGCUCGUUUGAGUGUCAUUGUACUCUCACACUCCCGAUCUUUGCAUUGGGAGCAGUGGACUUGGGUUUGCUGCUUCACCGUCGCUUACCUCAAAUAGGUUAGUGCAACUCUUGGUUGGACAUAGUACGGCGUGAUAAGUGUUCUUCGCCGGUGCCUCGCAAAGAGGGUGGCCGAUCGGGAUGUUGUGCUCCAAACCGUCUUCGGACAAUCUCUGACGACUUGACCUCAAAUCGAGUAAGACUACCCGCUGAAUUUAAGCAUAUCAAUAAGCGGAGGA